UACGUAGGGGGCAAGCGUUGUCCGGAAUCAUUGGGCGGAAAGAGCGUGUAGGCGGCCAGAAAAGUCCGCUGUGAAAACUCGAGGCUCAACUUCGAGCUGUCGGUGGAAACUUUCUGGCUAGAGUCCGGAAGAGGAGAAUGGAAUUCCUGGUGUAGCGGUGAAAUGCGCAGAUAUCAGGAAGAACACCCGUGGCGAAGGCGGUUCUCUGGGCUGACACUGACGCUCAUGCACGAAAGCGUGGGGAGCAAACAGG
rnacentral:rRNA from 1 species